CAGCCGCCGCGGGAAUACGAAGGUCCCGAGCGUUGUUCGGAAUCACUGGGCGUAAAGGGAGCGUAGGCGGCGUGGUAAGUCAGAUGUGAAAUCCCGGGGCUCAACCCCGGAACUGCAUCCGAUACUGCCAUGCUAGAGGAUUGGAGAGGUAGCUGGAAUUCUUGGUGUAGCAGUGAAAUGCGUGGAGAUCAAGAGGAACACUCGUGGCGAAAGCGAGCUACUGGACAAUAACUGACGCUGAGGCUCGAAGGCCAGGGUAGCGAAAGGGAUUAGAGACCCCCGUAGUCCCUGUCUCUUAUAC
rnacentral:rRNA from 1 species